rnacentral:rRNA from 1 species
CACGUGGGCAAUCUGCCCUUCACUCUGGGACAAGCCCUGGAAACGGGGUCUAAUACCGGAUAUCACUUCCACUCGCAUGGGUGGGGGUUGAAAGCUCCGGCGGUGAAGGAUGAGCCCGCGGCCUAUCAGCUUGUUGGUGAGGUAAUGGCUCACCAAGGCGACGACGGGUAGCCGGCCUGAGAGGGCGACCGGCCACACUGGGACUGAGACACGGCCCAGACUCCUACGGGAGGCAGCAGUGGGGAAUAUUGCACAAUGGGCGAAAGCCUGAUGCAGCGACGCCGCGUGAGGGAUGACGGCCUUCGGGUUGUAAACCUCUUUCAGCAGGGAAGAAGCGAAAGUGACGGUACCUGCAGAAGAAGCGCCGGCUAACUACGUGCCAGCAGCCGCGGUAAUACGUAGGGCGCAAGCGUUGUCCGGAAUUAUUGGGCGUAAAGAGCUCGUAGGCGGUCUGUCACGUCGGAUGUGAAAGCCCGGGGCUUAACCCCGGGUCUGCAUUCGAUACGGGCAGACUAGAGUGUGGUAGGGGAGAUCGGAAUUCCUGGUGUAGCGGUGAAAUGCGCAGAUAUCAGGAGGAACACCGGUGGCGAAGGCGGAUCUCUGGGCCAUUACUGACGCUGAGGAGC